rnacentral:lncRNA from 1 species
CAAAGAAGAAAGAAGAAAUGAAGCAUGCUGGGGCGUGUUGCUCCAGGUACCGGUGAGACUACAGUAUGAAUGGCCCCACGUCUGCUUUUAACCUGGUGGUGUUGUGUAUAUAUACACUGUCGUCAGUGUGUGGAGUGCACGUGUACAAGCAGCGUGGAGAAAUACGGACAGCACAGGAGAAAGAGAGCAUGAAGAAAGAGAACAAGUUGGAGUUGAGAAGGAGAAGGAGAGCAUUAAAGCCCUGCAGGAAAAUGCAGUUAAAUGCUGCAAAAUUACAGAUAUGUUCACAAGCAAGGAACAUGGAUAAGAGUGUACAGCCAUCAAGUGGCAACCUCCGGGUCCGAAAAAUAAAGCCAAUGCAGAAAUGCCUUAAACCUGCAUUCUCCCUAAUGUCCAGCCGGGGGCAACUCCACUUGAUGCAAAAAUAAAU